rnacentral:rRNA from 1 species
AGUGAACGCUGGCGGUAGGCCUAACACAUGCAAGUCGAACGGCAGCACAGUAAGAGCUUGCUCUUACGGGUGGCGAGUGGCGGACGGGUGAGGAAUACAUCGGAAUCUACUUUUUCGUGGGGGAUAACGUAGGGAAACUUACGCUAAUACCGCAUACGACCUACGGGUGAAAGCAGUGGAUCUUCGGACCUUGCGCGAUUGAAUGAGCCGAUGUCGGAUUAGCUAGUUGGCGGGGUAAAGGCCCACCAAGGCGACGAUCCGUAGCUGGUCUGAGAGGAUGAUCAGCAAAACUGGAACUGAGACACGGUCCAGACUCCUACGGGAGGCAGCAUAGGGGAAUAUUGGACAAUGGGCGCAAGCCUGAUCCAGCCAGACCGCGGGGGUGAAGAAGGCCUUCGGGUUGUAAAGCCUUUUGUUGGGAAAGAAAAGCAGCAGGUUAAUACCCCGCUGUUCUGACGGUACCCAAAGAAUAAGCACCGGCUAACUUCGUG